GGGGUGGGCAAGUCUGGUGUCAGCCGCCGCGGUAAUACCAGCACCCCGAGUGGUCGGGACGAUUAUUGGGCCUAAAGCAUCCGUAGCCGGUUUUGCAAGUCUUCCGUUAAAUCCACCUGCUUAACAGAUGGGCUGCGGAGGAUACUACAAGGCUAGGGGGCGGGAGAGGCAAGCGGUACUCAGUGGGUAGGGGUAAAAUCCUCUGAUCCAUUGAAGACCACCAGUGGCGAAGGCGGCUUGCCAGAACGCGCUCGACGGUGAGGGAUGAAAGCUGGGGGAGCAAACCGGAUUAGAUACCCGGGUAGUCCCAGCUGUAAACGAUGCAGACUCGGUGAUGGGCCGGCUUUAUGCCGGCUCAGUGCCGCAGGGAAGCCGUUAAGUCUGCCGCCUGGGGAGUACGGUCGCAAGACUGAAACUUAAAGGGAAUUGGCGGGGGAGCACCACAAGGGGUGAAGCCUGCGGUUCAAUUGGAGUCAACGCCGGAAAUCUUACCGGGGGCGACAGCAGAGUGAAGGUCAAGCUGAAGACUUUACCAGACAAGCUGAGAGGAGGUGCAUGGCCGUCGCCAGCUCGUGCCGUGAGGUGUCCUGUUAAGUCAGGUAACGAGCGAGAUCCCUGCUUUUAGUUGCUACCACUACUCUCAGGAGGAGUGGGGCUAAUUAAAGGGACUGCCGCCGCUAAGGCGGAGGAAGGAGGGGGCUACGGCAGGUCAGUAUGCCCCGAAACCCUCGGGCCACACGCGGGCUGCAAUGGUAAGGACAAUGGGUUCCGAUUCCGAAAGGAGGAGGCAAUCCCUAAAC
rnacentral:rRNA from 1 species